rnacentral:rRNA from 1 species
GUGACCUCGGAUCGGGUAAGGUACUACUAAGGU